GUUGCUGUUUGUAUUUAGGAUGUGGUCUCGCACUUUUUUCUCCUCUACCAUCUAUGCCUGCGAACUUUUUUCUCCUCUACCAUCUAUGCCUGCGAAAUUGCGAGAGCAAUUAUUUUAGUUCCUUGGUCGGAAGUCGGGAUGGUGGGAUUGUUGGUCUGGUUACUGACUUACUGUGCCCAGUUGGGGUUUGCUGUCACCGGGCCCAAGUUUUCAUCAAAUUUCUCUGGUUUUUUGAUACCUGAAGGUAACUAAAAUCUGGAUCAUCUAAU
rnacentral:lncRNA from 1 species